UACAGAAGGUGCAAGCGUUAAUCGGAAUUACUGGGCGUAAAGAGUGCGUAGGUGGUUUAUUAAGUCAGGCGUGAAAUCCACGGGCUCAACCCGUGAACUGCGUUUGAAACUGGUAGACUAGAGUAUGGUAGAGGGAAGUGGAAUUUCAGGUGUAGCGGUGAAAUGCGUAGAUAUCUGAAGGAACACCAGUGGCGAAGGCGACUUCCUGGCCCAAUACUGACACUGAGGCACGAAAGCGUGGGGAUCAAACAGG
rnacentral:rRNA from 1 species